rnacentral:rRNA from 1 species
CAGCAGCCGCGGGAAUACAGAGGGUGCGAGCGUUAAUCGGAUUUACUGGGCGUAAAGCGUGCGUAGGCGGCUAAUUGAGUCGGAUGUGAAAUCCCCGAGCUUAACUUGGGAAUUGCAUUCGAUACUGGUUAGCUAGAGUGUGGGAGAGUAUGGUAGAAUUCCAGGUGUAGCGGUGAAAUGCGUAGAGAUCUGGAGGAAUACCGAUGGCGAAGGCAGCCAUCUGGCCUAACACUGACGCUGAGGUACGAAAGCAUGGGGAGCAAACAGGAUUAGAUACCCCCGUAGUCCCUGUCUCUUAUAC